CGUUUGGGCACGCAACAUUAUGAGUUGUUCCAUAUUUCACUGGAAUGCUAUGGCAAGGUGCCUAUGAUGAUCCAUACAUCAGGUAAAUCCAAGGGAAUGCCAUGAGUAAAAAAGAUUCAUUUCGCGUAGCCGUCGUUGGAAUUACAAAAGCACCACAUUUAGAAAACUUUGGUUGGCGUUAGCCUGUGUUGGACAUAAUCAGAGGAGAAAAUCCAAUCAGCUGAGCUGGAAGGGGGACCUUAUACUUGAAUCAUGGCUACAAUGUUGUCAACUUGAUGGUUUUGUAAAAAUAUAGUACGGUUGCAAUUUCUAGUUGCUGAUGCUGCGUGUGGUAAUGUAUGGUAAUAACGAAGAAUAUGAGUAACAUUUUAACAAAUUGUAAAUAUAUAAUAUUUGAUAGUGACAUUCCAUUCUUUAUGAUGAAAGGAGGACAUAUUAUUUAAUAAAUUGCGCUGUUCAUUUAUUGUUGCAAAAACCUAAUUUUUAUUCGAAAAUAAUGAAUGUACACUACAUAUGAUUUCCAAAAUUUUUAUAUUAAAAAUUACGUUAACAGCGUUACCCAAAAGUCAACAUCCUGUGUCGACGUUAUUCACCGCACAAUUUAAUCAUAUGUAUUUAUAUAAUUUUUACCGAAAUACAUCUAGCGUACGUAAUUUCAAAGCAGAAGAUCCCAAGAGAAGUGAAGGUGGGGCAUUAGCAUUCCUGUUACACCAUUCUAUUCAAUACAGAUCUAUCUCGCUUGAGCUAGUCUCUAGUGACCCAUAUAUGGAAUGUAUGGGGCAGCAGUCAAGUGUGGAACUGUAUAAUGUGUAUAUCCCGCCUGUUAAUAGCUGCCAACCGCGUUACUUGCUUAAUAUUUUACCUUCUUUCUCUAUUUACCUUCUUCAAAAAAUGUAAAUCGCAAAAUUUUUCGAUUUGAAACCGUUUUUGGUUUUGCAAGUGAAAUUGUAUUUUUGUGGCAACUGUGACAUUAAAACACUCUCAAAUGAUUUUAAGUAAUAAAAAUGUUGUCUUAAUGACAAAUUGUAAUAGUUUCUCAAUUAACGAAGGCAAUUGUUAACGAAGUGUUGCCACGUCACUUUUUUCGCCACAACAAAAAUUAUUCAUCUGUGAAAACCAAACAAUGUGGUAUUACGAAUAAUAAACUGAAGCAUAAAGAAAAAAGAAACUCAAAAAAAAAAAUAAUAAAUAAUUUUGUACAAAAAUUUUGCCACGUUACUUUUUUCUUGAAAAUAACUUUUUUUGUCAAACAAAAAUUAUUCAUCUGUGAAAACUAAACAAUAUGGUAUUAAGAAUAAUAAACUGAAGCAUAAAGAAAAAAGAAACUAAAAAAAUAAUUUUGUACAAAAAUUGUGGAAUGCUGUUUAAUUAGUCAAUAAUUAAUAUUUUAGGGGCGGGCACAGGAAAAACACAUGGUCAGACUGGACAGUAUACAUUAAAAAGAUUAUAUAUAUUGUUGUCAUAUUUACACUGAAAUCGUAAUUCACCAAAUCGUACAAAAUCUUAAGAAGCUAACACAAAAAUGAACGACUUUGAAUUACGAAAUUCUAACUAUUUCGAUACGUGACAUUCCUGGUAAACCCUAUUUUGGAAGGCAAUAACCUUCUGAGUUGUGGCAUUCCAUCCUAGGUAAUGACCAGAGGAGAUCAGCGUUGGCAGAACAGAUUGACUGCUCCACAUUUUACAGAAGAGUGUCAUAGUUCGCCAGAUUUAACCAUUGUGUCACCCUGUCUGAUAAAUGACGUGACUUGGAAACCCGUCAUUUCUCUUGGAUACCCGAGAUAAGACCAAACUUCCCAGCAGAGGCAGCGGGAUUAGCAAACGAGCGUGAUGAUCUCCGUCGUACCAACCCUACUGAUCCUAGAAUCAGUGAUUUGACAGAGGAAGUCAACCGGUUGGUACAGGAGCAUAAGAGGCAAAAGUGGCUAGACCAUCUGAAGUGCUGUAACAUUGGAACUGAUAUGAGUAAGCUGUGGGUAUCGGUUAAGUCGCUCUCGAACCCUGGAAAAAAGGAUGAUAGUACCUCAGUCACUUUUAACGACGUAACGGUGACUGAUCCGAAGAGGUGCGCGGAAUAUUUUAACCGAAAAUUUGUCGAGCACCCCGAGAGCGAUAGGGCGAGGAGAAGAGUACUACGUCGUUUCAGAUCUCUUUUUCCGCCUAGGAGGAACCACCACAGUUUACGAUGGGUGAUGUUACAAAUGUUAUCCGUAACGCUAAGUCAUCCAAAGCGUUGGGCCCGGACGGAAUCUCAAUGGUAAUGUUGAAGCAGCUGGAUACGCCGGGAGUCGAGUACUUAACGAAAGUUCUCAAUUUGUCGCUAGCCACCCACAUAGUGCCCGAAACCUGGAAAAUGGGCCGGGUGGUCCCGCUACUGAAGCCAGGCAAGGAUGCCAGUAAAGGCGAAUCGUACAGGCCGAUUUCGCUUUUGUCGCCAGUAGCUAAGACUCUUGAGGCUUUACUCCUCCCCAGCAUUAGAGGGAGCUAUCCAGUUGCCAACCAUCAGCACGGAUUCCGUCCACAACAUAGUAACACAACAGCAUUACACGCCAUUUCCACAGAUAUUAGUAGAGGAUUGAACCAGAACAAGCCGUGUGACAGAACACUGUUGGUAGCCCUUGACCUAUGAAAGGCAUUUGAUAUGCUCGAUCAUGCCAUACUGUUUGAGGACGUGCAGAUAACCACCCUCCGGCCAAGUUUGAAACGUUAGAUAAUCAACUAUAUGUGUGGACGCCAGGCGUACGUGGAAUUCCGGAACAAGAAGUCCAAAGCCCGUAGAGUGAAACAGGGAGUUCACCAAGGUGGGGUGAUAUCUCCGGAACUGUUUAACCUCUACCUUUCCGGCAUUCCUCGCCCUCCAGAGGGCAUAGAGAUCGUGACGUAUGCGGAUGAUUGUACGACCAUGGUGUUGAACAAUGCCUGUCAAAUUUGGAUGAAAAUGUAUUUCAACGACAAUUUGCAAAAAAAUCCAAUAUACCACUAAACACAAGCUAUUGUAGGCGGCUGAGGUUGGUAAUUUAUUUUUUAGUGAAACAAGUAUGGCUGGUUUCAUGUAUUUAAAUUUGAUGAGAGGCAAUUUUGAGCGAUCCGUUAGAAAAUUGGGCAUUUCCGAAAGCUGGAGUGGCUUUUACACGAUGUUGCAAAACACCUGCAUUCAUGGUUUAUUUAUUUUUCAUACGUAAAUACCAUCGACAUAUUGUCAUACGUAAAUAUUUCAGCUAUGAAAAUAAAUUUUGUUUGUAACAACCAUGGUAGAAUUAAGAAGGUAGGGUCAUGGAAUCAUAUGUUUGCAAUUAUUCAAAAUUAUUCAUUUGACAACAUCUCAUUGUCAAAAUAUAUGUUUCUAAAUCCAUUGUACAUACAGAGAUGCGGAAGGGGGUGAUAAGGUAAAUUACAGAAAAUGCAGAGAUGGAUAUGCUUAUUUGAAAUGACAUUACCUUUUGAACUUUACCAUGGUAAUAACGUUACCUAAAAUUCGACGUAGCGUAUAUAAAUAUUCAACUUCCCCAUCCUGGAAAAAUAUUUUGUACGUCUAUUAGUAAAUUAGUAUGUUUUUCAACUAUAAUCAUCUUAUUUUGCAUUACGAAUUAGCUAAACCUAAUAUGACGCAGUCUACCUACUUGACUUCGAAAAUAUGAAAUUGAAAAAUAUAUAUAAAAUAUGUACCUAAUAAAACUUUAACAUUCCUAAUUGUAGUUUCUGAGGAAUAAUAAAACAGAUAAUUGUCGUUUUCAGAAGCUCGCUACUCCGGCACCUUUUAAUAUUUUGAGUUAAUUUUUUGGUUUGCUAACGUUCAAUAUGUUUACUAUCGAAUCUCAUAUUGAAAUUAAAAAUUGGUGAUGGGGUUUUGGCCAGGAAAAUGUAUUUCUGAAACAUUGUGCGUCGCGUCGUUGAAACACACACACACACUCAAAUUAAAUAUAUGUACAUAAGUACUAACCUCGUUGAUGAGAUGGUUUGCUGUGGUUCUUCGUUUGGGCACGCAACAUUAUGAGUUGUUCCAUAUUUCACUGGAAUGCUAUGGCAAGGUGCCUAUGAUGAUCCAUACAUCAGGUAAAUCCAAGGGAAUGCCAUGAGGUGAGCCAAUGUGUGAAGUGUC